ensembl:snoRNA
AUCCUUUUGUAGUUCAUAAGCGUGAUGAUUGGGUUUUCACGCACAUGCGUGAGAUGUGCCUCCCUCAAACCUUGUUACGACAUCGGCACAUUACCCAUCUGACG